GACGAACGCUGGCGGCGUGCCUAAUACAUGCAAGUAGAACGCUGAAGAGAGGAGCUUGCUCUUCUUGGAUGAGUUGCGAACGGGUGAGUAACGCGUAGGUAACCUGCCUUGUAGCGGGGGAUAACUAUUGGAAACGAUAGCUAAUACCGCAUAACAAUGGAUGACACAUGUCAUUUAUUUGAAAGGGGCAAUUGUUCCACUACAAGAUGGACCUGCGUUGUAUUAGCUAGUAGGUGAGGUAAUGGCUCACCUAGGCGACGAUACAUAGCCGACCUGAGAGGGUGAUCGGCCACACUGGGACUGAGACACGGCCCAGACUCCUACGGGAGGCAGCAGUAGGGAAUCUUCGGCAAUGGGGGCAACCCUGACCGAGCAACGCCGCGUGAGUGAAGAAGGUUUUCGGAUCGUAAAGCUCUGUUGUAAGUCAAGAACGGGUGUGAGAGUGGAAAGUUCACACUGUGACGGUAGCUUACCAGAAAGGGACGGCUAACUACGUGCCAGCAGCCGCGGUAAUACGUAGGUCCCGAGCGUUGUCCGGAUUUAUUGGGCGUAAAGCGAGCGCAGGCGGUUUGAUAAGUCUGAAGUUAAAGGCUGUGGCUCAACCAUAGUUCGCUUUGGAAACUGUCAAACUUGAGUGCAGAAGGGGAGAGUGGAAUUCCAUGUGUAGCGGUGAAAUGCGUAGAUAUAUGGAGGAACACCGGUGGCGAAAGCGGCUCUCUGGUCUGNUACUGACGCUGAGGCUCGAAAGCGGGGGAGCGAACAGGAUUAGAUACCCUGGUGGUCCACGCCGUAAACGAUGAGUGCUAGGUGUUGGAUCCUUUCGGGGAUUCAGUGCCGCAGCUAACGCAUUAAGCACUCCGCCUGGGGAGUACGACCGCAAGGUUGAAACUCAAAGGAAUUGACGGGGGCCCCGCACAAGCGGUGGAGCAUGUGGUUUAAUUCGAAGCAACGCGAAGAACCUUACCAGGUCUUGACAUCCCGAUGCUAUUUCUAGAGAUAGAAAGUUACUUCGGUACAUCGGUGACAGGUGGUGCAUGGUUGUCGUCAGCUCGUGUCGUGAGAUGUUGGGUUAAGUCCCGCAACGAGCGCAACCCCUAUUGUUAGUUGCCAUCAUUCAGUUGGGCACUCUAGCGAGACUGCCGGUAAUAAACCGGAGGAAGGUGGGGAUGACGUCAAAUCAUCAUGCCCCUUAUGACCUGGGCUACACACGUGCUACAAUGGUUGGUACAACGAGUUGCGAGUCGGUGACGGCGAGCUAAUCUCUUAAAGCCAAUCUCAGUUCGGAUUGUAGGCUGCAACUCGCCUACAUGAAGUCGGAAUCGCUAGUAAUCGCGGAUCAGCACGCCGCGGUGAAUAAGGUCCCGGGCCU
rnacentral:rRNA from 1 species